UACGUAGGCAGCAAGCGUUGUUCGGAGUUACUGGGCGUAAAGGGUGCGUAGGCGGUCCUAUAAGUAUGGUGUGAAAUCUCCCGGCUUAACUGGGAGGGUGCGCUAUAGACUGUGGGACUAGAGUGUGGGAGGAAGAAGGUAGUACUUCUGGUGUAGCGGUGAAAUGCGUAGAUAUCAGGAGGAACACCGGUGGUGUAAACGGCUUUCUGGACCAUAACUGACGCUGAGGCACGAAAGCGUGGGUAGCAAACAGG
rnacentral:rRNA from 1 species